rnacentral:misc_RNA from 1 species
AAGAAAAUCAAUAUUUUUUAAUGUAUGAUGAAUGACAUGACAUAAAAUAGUUGCUAAGCGAUUUUCAGAAUUGUAAGAAAACAAUAGAAAAUAAUUUAUUUUCUUAAAAAAUAUUUUCACGAACAAGUUAUUAUCCAUGGAACAAAUGGAGCUUUAAUUUGAUUGUUGCGUACCAUUUAAAACCAUAUGUAUGCAAGGAAUGUGAUAUAUGCUCAGUAAAUGCAGAAGUUAUAAAUGUAAUUAAUUACAUCUACAAUGUUGGCCAUUUAUUUUUUUAAAAAUUGGGUAAGUGUAAUAGCCAUAGUAGUGAUUAUAUAAUAAUGCUUACAGCCAUUAAGGUGGUGAUUUGCAAAAGGACUCUAUUUAAGGAUUGUUAAAAAGUACUGUUACUUUGUAAACUUGCCAAAUACCUUUUAAAAAACCACACUGAAUAAAUUCCCUAAUAACUACCAAAGAUCCUAACUAAUAUCGAAUGUUCCUAACAACAUCAAAUAACCUUCAAAACAUGGAAAUUCUGAGUCAAAACAAAAUGCACCUCAAGCUUGACAUUGGCGCUAAAAAAGGCUAUUCAAAUAACAAACCACCAUUUCAUGGAUUUUAUCUUCUUAUAGAUGCAUCAAACUCUGUAAGAUUGAUGAAGCUUAGCCUUGAGUUCUAAGUGUAGUGCCACCAUCUGGAUCCUAAACUUCCAACCUUAGAUUUGAUACCAUUUACUCCAAAAAAAAAAUUAAUAUAUUAAUUCUUUGUCUUGUACCGGGCCAUUUAAUAUGUAUAUUGAUUAAGCCAAUUUAUUUAUCAUAUUGUUCUAUCAUCUCCGUAUCAAAGAAUUUAUAGGUCUUGGAUAUUAAUGCGGACCUAAUGUUUAAUAGAGCUUAAUGGUGAAAAAUGAUCUAUAUAG